rnacentral:rRNA from 1 species
AACGAACGCUGGCGGCGUGCUUAACACAUGCAAGUCGAACGGAAAGGCCCUGCUGGUGUGGAGUGCUCGAGUGGCGAAGGGGUGAAUAACACGUGAAUCACCUGCCCUUGACUUUGGAAUAACUUCAGGAAACUGGGAAUAAUACAGAAUAGGAGCUCCUGCUGCAGGGUGGGGGUUGGAGAGAUUCGGCGCUUGGGGAUGAACUCGCGGCUUAUCGGCUUGUUGGUGUGGUAGUGUCUUACCAAGGCUGUGACGGGUAGCCGGCCUGAGAGGGUGACCGGCCACAGUGGCAUUGAGAUACGGGCAAGAGGGCUUCGGGCGGAAUGAGUGAGGAAUAGUGCACACUGGGCGGAAGGAGGAUUGAGCGACUCCGGGUGCGGGAGGACGGUCGGCGGGUUGGAAAGCUCCUGCGCCUGUGACGAAGGGUGAGUGACGGUACCUUGAAAAGAAGCACCGGCUAACUACGUG